rnacentral:rRNA from 1 species
GACGAACGCUGGCGGCGUGCUUAACACAUGCAAGUCGAACGGAAAGGCCCUGCUUUUGUGGGGUGCUCGAGUGGCGAACGGGUGAGUAACACGUGAGUAACCUGCCCUUGACUUUGGGAUAACUUCAGGAAACUGGGGCUAAUACCGGAUAGGAGCUCCUGCUGCAUGGUGGGGGUUGGAAAGUUUCGGCGGUUGGGGAUGGACUCGCGGCUUAUCAGCUUGUUGGUGGGGUAGUGGCUUACCAAGGCUUUGACGGGUAGCCGGCCUGAGAGGGUGACCGGCCACAUUGGGACUGAGAUACGGCCCAGACUCCUACGGGAGGCAGCAGUGGCGAAUCUUGCACAAUGGGCGGAAGCCUGAUGCAGCAACGCCGCGUGCGGGAUGACGGCCUUCGGGUUGUAAACCGCUUCCGCCUGUGACGAAGCGUGAGUGACGGUAAUGGGUAAAGAAGCACCGGCUAACUACGUG